rnacentral:rRNA from 1 species
AAUGAACGCUGGCGGCGCGCCUAAUACAUGCAAGUCGAGCGAGAAGACGUAGCAAUACGUUUGUAAAGCGGCGAACGGGUGAGGAAUACAUGGGUAACCUACCCUCGAGUGGGGAAUAACUAGCCGAAAGGUUAGCUAAUACCGCGUACGCUCCUUGGACUUCGGUUCAGGGAGGAAAGCGAUACCGUGGGUAUCGCGCUCUUGGUUGGGCUCAUGUCCUAUCAGCUUGUUGGUGAGGUAACGGCUCACCAAGGCUUCGACGGGUAGCUGGUCUGAGAGGACGAUCAGCCACACUGGCACUGCGACACGGGCCAGACUCCUACGGGAGGCAGCAGUAAGGAAUAUUGCGC